UGGAUUUCGAAGGGGCAGAGGAACCAGAGACCAAAUUGCAAACGUGUGCUGGAUUAUGGAGAAAGCUAGAGAGUUCCAGAAAAACAUCUACUUCUGCUUCAUUAACUACGCACAAACCUUUGACUGUGUCAAUCACAGCAAACUAUGGCAAGUUCUUAAAGAAAUUUGAGUGCCUGAUCACCUCAUCUGUCUCCUGAGAAAUCACUAUGUGGGACAAGAAGCUACAGUUAGAACUGGAUAUGAAACAACUGAUUGGUUCAAAAUUGGGAAAGGAGUACGACAAGGCUGUAUAUUGUCUCCCUGCUUAUUUAACUUACUGGCAUAUGCAGAAUUCAUCAUGCGAAAGGCUGGACUGGAUGAAUCCUAAGCCGGAAUUAAGAUUGUUGGAAGAAAUAUCAACAACCUCAGAUAUGCAGAUGACACAACUAUGAUGGCAGAAAGUGAGGAGGGUGAAAGAGGAGAGCGCAAAAUCAGCCCUGAGUGCUCACUGGAAGGACAGAUCGUGAAGCUGAGGCUCCAAUACUUUGGCCACCUCAUGAGAAGAGAAGACUCCCUGGAAAAGACCCUGAUUUUGGGAAAGAUUGAGGGCAGAAGGAGAAGGGGACGACAGAGGACGAGAUGGUUGGACAGUGUUCUCAAAGCUACUGACAUGAGUUUGACCAAACACGGGGGGCAGUGGAAGACAGGAGUGCCUGGUGUGCUCUGGUCCAUGGGGUCACGAAGAGUCGGACACGACAACAAAAAUACUACAGUGUAGUUGGCAAAAUACAGCUUUGCAGAAAUAAAUAUGAAACUCUAUAGCAUUUAAUGGGGGGGGUAAACAAGUUGCAAAUAAUUGUGACAUAUGUUUCUCCAGGUAUAUCUUUGUGUUGCUUGAACAUUAUCCAGUAUGUGAAGAAAUCAACUCAAAAUAGCAUUACUUUAUAGAUAAUGGAAAGGGUGAUGAUUGUUGCUCUCAUAAAUAAGGGAAAGGGAACAUGACAACAAUGGUUGAAUGUUUUUCUUUUGAAGGCAAUACUGCUUGAGAACAUAUAAUAAAUCAUCCAUCACGUUCCUCCUAUUUUAUUAUCAAACAAGCUAGAAAUAAGUUGAUUCGUCAUGAGUUAUGGCAUUCAUUCCACAAACAAGAAUGUAGGAAAUUCAUUUCUCCAGAGGAAAAGAUAAAAAAUCAUUAGGGAAAUAUGUAGGCUGUUCAAUCAAAAUGAUUAUAUUGUAUGAAAGUGAAAACAAGCUUUGACAGAGAGUCAUUUUGAUUUAUGGUUUAAAUGUCUUUGGUAAAUAAAAGCAGUUAUGUAUGUAUGCAUUUUGAAAUUAGUAUUUCCUAGGUGAAAAACAUGCAGCAAACUAUAAUUACUUCUUCUGAAUUUCAAGAGGGGAAUAGGGAAAUACAGUUAUUUAAAUUUAAGAUUGAUUCAUGUGACAACAGGAUCAAUAAAACAUGUUGAACAACAUUUUGAUUCUGCUGAGGUCAAUGGAACAUUAACAUUUACUGAAAAAGAAACAAAAUUUUACACACCUAAAGUUUUAACCACACGGAAAGUUCCUCUGCAUAAGUAAAAUAGAAUAGGGCACUUUCAAGAAGUGACAAUUACAUUUUUCAAUUAAAUUGUAAAUGAAAUUUACAAAUAAAAGAUCUGUAUAGAACAUUGAUAGACAACUUCUGUAUUCUCUAUGAUAAAAAUUGUAAUUGUCUUCUGGAGCAUUCUCCACAAGAGCACAAACUUCAGAGUGUUCUCAGCCAGACAAAUUGGCUAAGAGCUGCUCUUGAACUGAAGAGACCCAACACAUCAUUGGGUAAAAUUGAGGGCAGCUGAUCUGUAUCCAGUUCUUCAUACAAGCACACUAACCUUUCUCAGAAUCUUGCUUUGCUAUUUCUUUCUGCUCUUCUCUUUCACUAGUCCUCCAUCUCUGUGUUUUCCUCUGCUGCUUAUAAAGCAGAAACAGCCCGUCCCAUACCUCUUCUUUUCCACCCCCUUCAGUACAUCUGAGGUUGCUUUCAAACAGCUGGUGUGGGCAGGUAGCCAAACUACCUUGGCAUCUCCCCUAGCCUCAUCACACCUCACUUUAAGAUCUUCACAGUUAGGAACCACAUAUGCUCACAUAUAACCGUACAAGGAUAUAAUCCAUAUAAAGUUGAAAACAGAUAAAAUAUUAAAAAUGUGGAAUAUUCAUUUUUCUUACAACUUGAUGACCUUCCGCCCUCUUAAAAGUGUGGACAGACUUUUUAAACACACCUGUUGUUAGGGCAUUAAAGCCAGCUACUCCUGUUUCAAGGGGCUUGGCUCCAGUCUGUGGGCCAGGAGUUGACCAUCUCUGGUAUAGAAUGUGUUUAUCUUGUCACAAUUGAAACAAGCCAGUAGCCACCAUUCAAGGGUGUACACACAAUACUGAAUAUCUAUUUAAGUAUUUCAUGAUAAAAGCACACUAAAGACAAAGUAUAGUGUUAAUUUUUUAAAAAAUCAGAUCCACAAGUCAGCUUAAAAAAACAUGGUUUGGAUCCAGCCUUAAUCGUGCUUGGAAUAGAACCAUUAAAAUCAAUGGAUCAUAAGUUACUCGUGACUAACCAACCCAUUGAUUAUUCUCACUGAGCACAGAACGAAUUCCUAGACGGCAUGAAUUAAGACUCAGGGAGGAGAGAUGGGUAAGUUGAACCUUUCUAAAAGGGAUAUUCUUCCUCUGCCUAAAAAUUACUAUCACAUUUCAGUAGAGCUGUGCUCUUGUUUGAUAACUACAGAUGAUACUUCUGUAGGCCAAGUGUUCAUAGAGAUGCACCUUGAUCUGGGGGCUCUUUGAUAUUACAAAAACCAGUUCUAACACAUUUUGAUUAAUUAAUUAAUUUUCUUUAAUUUAUAUGGCUGGGCAUGACCCAUAGCUGUCAACGUUUCCCUUUUUUAAAGGGAAAUUCCCUUACUCCAAAUAGAAUUCCUCACAAGAAAAGGGAAAGGUUGACAGCUAUGGCAUGACCCGUGCACACUUUAAAAGCAAUGGAGGCAUUGUUUUUUUUUUAAAAAAGUACACUUUAAAACAACUGUUUUUCAGUUGCAUAAAUUGUUCCGAGUGUCAGUGAACAGUUUGUCUUAACAUUCAAAUACAUAUUGCCUGAGUUAUGAGAGUUUUUUUAAGGAUCUGGUGCUUUCUAACUUAGUAGCAAAAUAAAUAUAUGUGCAGUGUCAUGUUGGUUGUAUCUUGGAAGAGAUAGGCAUUAAGCUUGCAGGCACUUCUACACCUCUCACUCUCCAUUUUCAGAAAGAGGCACUUGUAAAAAGAUGAAAGAGACACAAGCACAGUUCGGUAUGUAGGAGGUCCUUGUGUAUGUGUACUGUAGCCACCCACAUCUAAGGGCCAUUCCUCCUGUUAUUUUGCAUCAUGAGAGCUCUUUCCAAUGCAUUGUGUCAGAAAUCCCACUGAGCUAAUCCAAAUCUUUAUUCCGGUCAUAGACCAGCAUAAGAUAAAAGCACCUUCAUGCAUAAAUAAGUAAGUUAACUUACUGUAGAGGGUACACAUACUCAUACUCUCAGAUACAAUAGACCAACAUAAGAUAAAAACACAUAAAACAUGUAAAACAAACCCUCCGUUUUAGUCCUACUGUGUGGCUAGAUAUUGUGCUGCUAUGAUUGACAUACGUCAGAGGAUGGUAUGUCCAAUUGAGCCCUAUCUCCUGGCAUUUGAGGCAACAUACUCAAACAAGCUGUGUACACACUCUUGUUUACUCUGCAUCCAGUGUGCUCCUGCUGUUGAUUUGCAAAGGGGUUUCACACAACAUUAGCCACAACCCAUAUCUAUCCUGUAUCUAUCCUGAGUGGAAUUCAACAAUGAGCUCUUCCAGUCAUUCCAUCUGUGCAAGCACUGCAUCUUGCCAAAUGGAAUGAUUUCUCCUCUCCUCUCCACACACUGUUCUGGAAGUUCUCCUGACAGCCCCUUGCUGAGCAGAAACCCUUGGGCAGAGCUUAUGGGGCUGGUUAGUUGAAUCCCACCCACUGUGUUUUGAUUCAUUUCCCCACAGACCAGCUUCUAUCCUAAUUGGGGGGGAAAGAACAAACUAGCUGCCCAUUAAGCAGGUAAUGUGUGUGUAGCCAUUGUGUCUAGAGCAGGGGUGGGUUAUCUUUUUUAACCUAGAGCCACAAAUACCCCCAGGGAAAAUUUGGCCUCAGGCUUGAGGUAUCUCAGCCCUGUUCUGGUGAAUUGAUGGAGCACUUACCAUGCUGAUUGCAGUGAGUAGAACUGGAGACCUCUGAAAAUAAUCUGUGAACUGUAGUUUGCCCUACUGUCUCAUGUUCUCUGUAUUAGAUCUGAACAACAGCUGUAGUGUUACAACCUGCCAGACUCCACAGAUUUCUAUUCAGUAUGCGUUGUCCCAGCCAACAUGUCAGCUGUAAAUCGCAACCAUGCCAUUAUAUGGCACACUAAGACAUACAGGGUGGUGGUGCAUUGGGCUGAAUUCUGCAAUUAAUUAAAGAGAUAAACUGGUAGUGAUAUUUUUAAAAAACCAAUUCCUAGCUGACAUUCUUAAUUUGUUUAUGAAAAUUAUGACAACAAAUAGAGGAAUUGCUUUGUUAACUGUCAAACAACUGACUUUACCAUUCAAGGGGAAUGUGUCUGUAUGUGACAGAGGGAGCUGAGUUUGAUGGAUACAAAGCAGGAAGUCUCUGCAAAUAGUUCAUAAAGUGCUUCUCCGAAGUGCUGAUGAAAAUGGACAAGAAACAUGUAGGAUCUGGAAGCUGACAAAUUAUUAAAUAUAGUGUGUAUAUUUUUAGAGUACUGUCUCCCCUUUAAUUUUUAACCACUUACUUAGACAACAGGCAGAUCAAUCCUAUACAUUGGUACCUCUGGUUACGAACGUAAUUUGUUCCAGAGGUCCAUUCUUACCCUGAAACCGUUCUUAACUUGAGGUACCACUUGAGCUAAUGGCGCUGCCGGUUGCACAAUUUCUGUUCUCAUCCUGAGGUAAAGUUCUUAGCCUGAGGUACUACUUCUGGGUUAGCGGAGUGUGUAACUCAAAGUGUUUGUAACUUGAGGUGUUUGUAACCCGAAGUACCACUGUAUUCAUAUUACACUGGGGCCAGUCCUACUACACCAUUAGGAAAGUUGGCAUAACCAAUGCAUGCUGAACUCAGGAAGGGAGAGGAAAACACACAUGCAGAAAAUACAAAUCAGGAUCAACACAACACAAUGUCCACAGUGUCCCAAGAAACUGUGGCACAGUAGACCAAUUGGAGACUCUGCCAUUUAUGAUGCAAUGUGGCAUGCAGACAGGAGAGAGAUCCACCCUGACCUCCACCUUCUCUAGCAUUCUAACCUCCUCCACUAGUGGUUCUGGGGGUUAGAACAGUUUUCUUUAAAAAUAUUUUACCCUUGAGAGCAGUAAGCACUUGGCCACUGUAACAGAUGAACCCUUUUGAAGCCCUUUUGAAAAGCUCAGUGUUGCCCUUUUCCUCACAGCAACCCAUUAUCCCCAUGCCAUAUAAAUCAAUCAUUUGGAGUGUAGUCAACAGCCUUUGAAGUCAAUGGUAAGAUCUACAUUGGUUUUUAAUGGAACUGAUUUUGUGCCUUGGAGUUAGUGCACUUUUUCUGCUCUGUUUCAGUUUUUAAAAAAAUCAAAAGGUUGAUCUAUUUUACAUCUGAAUGGUUUGUUAAUGUUUCACAAGUUAAAAUAAAGCAAGUACUAACACACUAAUGGUGUUUGGCCUUUUGUUGGUUUUAAUAUUUUAAACC